GGCAGUGAGCUACAGCCGAGACGAUCUGCUUGAAAAGCCGGGCAGCCUCCUCCUCCCGCAGCCUUUUGCAGCUCCUCACGUAGGAGUGCAUGUCCCCAAAGUCCUUCUCGAAGAAGACGUAGGCCUUGGUGUCCCCGAGGAUCACUUCUACGACCCCGGUGAUGUUCCUGUGUGACGGCAGCUGAAUGGUAAAAGAAAAUUCAGUCAACUGACUCUACUAGUUUAUCAGCAAUGUUGAAACUUUUGAUCCACCACAACAACAUCUACUACGAUGACAGCUUCCCAAUGGAUUUAACCUCCUGAAUUCAGUUCCUGAUUCCAAAAGGCACCAUGAAUAGCUGUGACUUCCCCACACACUUCCUGAAUAUAUCCUUACACAUUGUUUUCAUAAAAAGAGAAAAAAAAGAAAAAGAUCCUUCAUGUGUACAGUACUAAUAGGAAGCCUGUGACUUGGGCAGACACUGAAGUAUUACUUCCUGUAACCUUGCCAAUCCAAAUACAUUUCCUAGAACAAGUGGAAUAGAAUUCCACUUACGCAGCAAAGCAAAUAGCUUUUCCACACAUUCUUGUUAGCUUACCGGACUUUCUUCUUUUGCUGCUUUCGAGCCUGGAUAAUUUUUAGAAUGGCAUCUUCUUCAUAGAUAUGACCACAGACUUUGUUUCGAACUGGCUUCUUCAUUUCCAUCUGUAAUCAAUAAGGUUGGAUUUAAAUGAACUGAUAAUGCUGUGAAUGCACUUCAUACAAGAUUUUUACAGCAGGAAGAUUGUCUGUCACUCAUACAUGCUGUUCCAUCCAAAUUGUGGGGUCAGAUCCAGCAUGGUAAACUGCAUUGUAGGUUGUUUUAGGUUUUUUUCAGGCAACAUUGCUUCUCUCUGAUAUUGACUGAAAUUUAUACUGCCUGAUCUUUAACAAGGACUGCAGAUUUCUAAUAAGCAAUCUAGUGAAAAAUAAGAAAUAAUGAUUUCCCAAUCUAUUAUAGUAGCAGUGAUAGCAUACCUGUGUAAUGGGACAAAUAAAGUUCAUCUGACUCUGAGUCACAGCUAUAUCUUCAUCGAUUUGUUCAAUGUCCUCAUUAUCAUUAUUAUCUGAUUGAAGACAAACUAUAACGGGAAACAAAACAAUUUUCAUUCAAUAUGUAAUAUACAUAAUCAAUACUUAAAUAAGCAAGUAAAAUCCAGCAUUUGCCAGACAUUAUCUCAUAGCGAUAGUAAGAUACCACAACAUAUUUCUGUAGCACUCCCUGAAAAAGAUAUUGCAAAAAAUGCUAUAAUAUGCUGUCUGUUUGAACAUGUGGAUUUUUAAAAGGCAACCACUUUUUGGAGGGGGAGGGGAGCCAAUAUUAGCCAAUACUAGAACGGAGAGAAAGAAAAGAAAGCAAGCUGGCGAGCAUACAUGUAAAGCUCAAGCUCACAAAAACAGGUAAUUCACACACAAGUCCCCAAAAUCUAACGAAGGAUAAGGUGGAGCCUUUGCAGUUUUGGUAGCCCUGCCCUCAAGAUCAGUUUGUGUUUGAAUGUCAUAAAUGGAUCAUUAUAAAACCUGUAUAAAUAUACAAUAUAUAUCUUAAAAGGAAUUUGUAUUAUUUAUCACAAUGAUCAUUAAGUCAUGCCACUAUAUUUUAAUAAGACUGUAAUUAGUGAAAUCAGCUUGAGAACAAAGGCCAAGAAUAUGUUAUUUGAGAUACACAGCAGAAACAUUAUUGAAAUAACCUUAUGGAGGAAGGGCAGAACAAAAUACUAUAAUCUCCCAGAAUACACUUGAUGGCUGUAUGCCAGGGAAUGAAAACCACUUGACCUGGAGAAGAUACAAGUCCUUCCCUUCAACAGGAUCAGAAGGAAAAGAACCUAUGAGUACACCGUGAAGAAACUAUUUAGCUAUAUAUUGGAGCACUUAAGGAGGAUACCUACUGCUAAGUAUAACCUUAAUAAAGGUACACAUGUUGUUUUA